rnacentral:rRNA from 1 species
GAUCUAGCCAUGCCGCGUGAGUGAUGAAGGCCCUAGGGUUGUAAAGCUCUUUCAGCUGGGAAGAUAAUGACGGUACCAGCAGAAGAAGCCCCGGCUAACUCCGUGCCAGCCGCCGCGGUAAUACGGAGGGGGCUAGCGUUGUUCGGAAUUACUGGGCGUAAAGCGCACGUAAGCGGACCGGAAAGUUGGGGGUGAAAUCCCGGGGCUCAACCCCGGAACUGCCUUCAAAACUAUCGGUCUGGAGUUCGAGAGAGGUGAGUGGAAUUCCGAGUGUAGAGGUGAAAUUCGUAGAUAUUCGGAGGAACACCAGUGGCGAAGGCGGCUCACUGGCUCGAUACUGACGCUGAGGUGCGAAAGCGUGGGGAGCAUACAGGAUUAGAUACCCUGGUAGUCCACGCCGUAAACGAUGAAUGCCAGUCGUCGGGCAGCAUGCUGUUCGGUGACACACCUAACGGAUUAAGCAUUCCGCCUGGGGAGUACGGUCGCAAGAUUAAAACUCAAAG